GACGAACGCUGGCGGCGUGCUUAACACAUGCAAGUCGAACGGAAAGGCCCUGCUUUUGUGGGGUGCUCGAGUGGCGAACGGGUGAGUAACACGUGAGUAACCUGCCCUUGACUUUGGGAUAACUUCAGGAAACUGGGGCUAAUACCGGAUAGGAGCUCCUGCUGCAUGGUGUGGGUUGGAAAGUUUCGGCGGUUGGGGAUGGACUCGCGGCUUAUCAGCUUGUUGGUGGGGUAGUGGCUUACCAAGGCUUUGACGGGUAGCCGGCCCGAGAGGGUGACCGGCCACCUUGGGACUGCGAUACGGCCCAGACUCCAACGGGAGGCAGCAGUGGGGAAUAUUGCACAAUGGGCGGAAGCCAGAUGCAGCAACGCCGCGUGCGGGAUGACGGCUUUUGGGUUGUAAACCGCUUUCGCCUGUGACGAAGAGUGAGUGACGGUAAUGGGUAAAAAAGCACCGGCUAACUACGUG
rnacentral:rRNA from 1 species